GACGAACGCUGGCGGCGUGCUUAACACAUGCAAGUCGAACGGAAAGGCCCUGCUUUUGUGGGGUGCUCGAGUGGCGAACGGGUGAGUAACACGUGAGUAACCUGCCCUUGACUUUGGGAUAACUUCAGGAAACUGGGGCUAAUACCGGAUAGGAGCUCCUGCUGCAUGGUGGGGGUUGGAAAGUUUCGGCGGUUGGGGAUGGACUCGCGGCUUAUCAGCUUGUUGGUGGGGUAGUGGCUUACCAAGGCUUUGACGGGUAGCCGGCCUGAGAGGGUGACCGGCCACAUUGGGACUGAGGUACGGCCCAGACUCCUACGGGAGGCAGCAGUGGGGAAUAUUGCACAAUGGGCGGAAGCUUGAUGCAGCAACGCCGCGUGCGGGAUGACGGCCUUCGGGUUGUAAACCGCUUUCGCCUGUGACGAAGCGUGAGUGACGGUAAUGGGUAAAGAAGCACCGGCUAACUACGUG
rnacentral:rRNA from 1 species